GGGAGUGGGCAACCAGUCUGGGGCAGAGGGUUGGAAGAUCACCGUUCUGUGAUCCCACGAUUGAAAACAGGUUUACGAAGUUUGGCUUUACUGAAGUCUGGCAGCAUUCAGAUGGGCAGUGAGUGUCCCUGAGGAGCUGCAGGUGCUCCAUGUAUGUUCUCCUGCUGUGCUUGCAGGGAUGGCUGCUCUGGGAAUGCCCAACAGCAGCCCGGGGGCUCACCUCAUUCUCCAGCACACGGUGUGUGGCCGAGCUUUUGGCUUUAACUCACUGCGUACGGAGCCUAUGGGAGCCCUUGGGACAGGAGAGGUGUGGUGCUGGCUGUGUGCAGGGCAGACACCCGGUGCCCUUCAUCCCAUGCCUGUUGUC
ensembl:lncRNA